CCUGGCUCAGAUUGAACGCUGGCGGCAGGCCUAACACAUGCAAGUCGAACGGUAGCACAGAGAGCUUGCUCUCGGGUGACGAGUGGCGGACGGGUGAGUAAUGUCUGGGAAACUGCCCGAUGGAGGGGGAUAACUACUGGAAACGGUAGCUAAUACCGCAUAACGUCUUCGGACCAAAGUGGGGGACCUUCGGGCCUCACACCAUCGGAUGUGCCCAGAUGGGAUUAGCUAGUAGGUGGGGUAAUGGCUCACCUAGGCGACGAUCCCUAGCUGGUCUGAGAGGAUGACCAGCCACACUGGAACUGAGACACGGUCCAGACUCCUACGGGAGGCAGCAGUGGGGAAUAUUGCACAAUGGGCGCAAGCCUGAUGCAGCCAUGCCGCGUGUAUGAAGAAGGCCUUCGGGUUGUAAAGUACUUUCAGCGGGGAGGAAGGCGAUGGAGUA
rnacentral:rRNA from 1 species